ACAUCAAAGAAAAAAACCAAGAGUUUUCGCUGCUUUCUCUUCACGAACUCACCGCUCGAUUUUCUUCUCUCAGUGUUUGAUGAAGGAGAUUAAGUGGUACUUCCGCGAGAUGGAGAUGUAGAGUAGAUAGUUUUGGGGGUUUCCCUUUAAAUCUUCUUUUGGGGUUUUGAGACUGUUUGUUUUUCUUUUCUUUUAAGAUUUGAAGAAGGGGUCUUGUGUUUGUGUUGUAGGGAUUCGUCGAUUGAAGGAAAGCUUUGGUUUUUGAUACAGUGGAUUGCAAACAGGUUCAAUUUUGGUUGUUUCUCUGAAUCAAUAAACCCUAACCCAAUUUUUUUUUUAAAAGAUUUUGCAGGUACGAUUUUUUAUCCAAGAUAAGUUACGGAGAAACCCUAAUAGCCAUUCAAGUUUAUACUUUCAGUUUGGGAUAUCCAAAAUCGAAAGUUAAAGCAGGAUCUCCCACGUCAUGAGGAUGAGUCUUCAACACUGUCAUAGAAGAGGGAUUUUAUACCAAUUAAAAUCAUUGUGCAUCUUUGAUUGUGCUCAGGUACUGGAUCCAUAGCUGCUGGAUAAGGGCAAUAUAUUGUACAUAAUCCAUAGCAUCAGUUGGUUGGUCCCGGACCUGAAGUAUUUCGAUCUCAAGUCAACUGCGACUUCAAGGAUUAAGAAAACUUGAGUUAAGCAAAAAGAAACACAACUCAUACCACUUUAUCAAAGGAUGAUGUAAAUUAUGUGAAUGUACAUUCUAUAUCAAUAUCAGCUGAAGACUUAGAGGAAAUACCAAACUCUUAUUCAUUGUUUACGUAGAAUUCUAAGUAACGGGACGGGAGGCGAAGUCGCGCGACAUCAAAUCAAAAAUCCUAAGCAACUGGGCGAGUCGUAGCCGAGCCACACCAAAUCAAAAAGGCAUCGCGACGGGGUGGGGCGAGGCCGUGGAACACCAUUUCAAAAAUGCAUCGGGACGGGGCGGGGCGAGGCGAAGCGAAGCCGAAGCCGAGCCACAACUAAUCAAAAAUGUAUCGCAACGAAGCGAGGCAAAGUCGCGCGACACUGAAUAAAAAAUGCAUCAGAAUGGGAUGAGGCGAAUCCAAGCCACCCCAAAUUGGGACGGGGCGAGGCGAAGCGAAGCCGAGCCACACCAAAUAAAAAGUGCACGAUGGGGCGUGGCUACGUCACACCAAACCAGUAGCCACGCCAAACCAAAAAUAUAGUAAAAGAAAAAAAAAAUGAUGGUGGAUGGUUUUCAGGUCCGUCCGGUGCGUAGCACGGGCACAAAAUCUAGUUUAUAUUAUAGGAAUAAUUUUCUUGGGUUAAUAUAUCUACUGUAAAUUAACGUGCUUGUUCUUCUAUUAAAAGAGUUCAAUUACACCA